ensembl:ncRNA mir-4939 mir-4939 stem loop
GCAUCAUGCUUCUGCGAUCUCUACCAAUUUUCCUUGCACUCUUUGUCCUUUCCAAAAGUGACACGGGUGCAGGUGAAGAUUCGGAAGAGGACGACGAAAACGACUGCAA